rnacentral:lncRNA from 1 species
GGCUGAGCUUAUUGGAGAGUCUGGAAGAGGCCUUUGGAUUCUUUUCUCUAGCUUUGAGGGGCUGCUUCCCUGUUUUUACACUAAUGCUCUGCUUCAGCACAAGUGGACAACUGAAUUGAAGGAUCAACAAGAAGAGCUGCUAGUUAGGUCUUAUCAGGUGGCUUUUUUCCUGUCAAGCAUCUUCAAAGCACUACUGAAGUCAUCAGAAGUCAGCAGAUAAUCAUAUUCUGUUGCCGCUGUCCGCACCUACUUCCUGCUCCCAGAGAAACAACUGAAAGGAACAAUACUUUUCUAUGCUUUUUGAAGAAAGCUCUUGCAGUUAGUAGCAUUUCUGAAAUUGAAAGAAUAAACAUUUC